rnacentral:rRNA from 1 species
GAUGAACGCUGGCGGCGCGCCUAACACAUGCAAGUCGAACGGUUAAGGCGCCCUUCGGGGCGCGAAUAGAGUGGCGAACGGCUGAGUAACACGUGGGCAACCUGCCCCCCGCACCGGGACAGCCUCGGGAAACCGUGGGUAAUACCGGGUACUCCGCCACCCCCGCAUGGGGGAGGCGGGAGAGCGUAUGCGGCGGGGGAUGGGCCCGCGGCCUGUUAGCUAGUUGGCGGGGCAACGGCCCACCAAGGCGAUUAUGGGUAGCUGGGUUGAGAGACCGACCAGCCAGAUUGGGACUGAGACACGGCCCAGACUCCUACGGGAGGCAGCAGUGGGGAAUCUUGCGCAAUGGGGGCAACCCUGACGCAGCGACGCCGCGUGCGGGACGAAGGCCUUCGGGUCGUAAACCGCUUUCAGCAGGGACGAGGCCGAAAGGUGACGGUACCUGCAGAAGAAGCCCCGGCUAACUACGUGCCAGCAGCCGCGGUAAUACGUAGGGGGCGAGCGUUAUCCGGAUUCAUUGGGCGUAAAGCGCUCGUAGGCUGCCCGCUAGGUCCGGGGUCAAAUCCGGGGGCUCAACCCCCGCACGCCCCGGAUACCGGCGGGCUUGAGUCGGGUAGGGGAAGGCGGAAUUCCAGGUGUAGCGGUGGAAUGCGCAGAUAUCUGGAAGAACACCGGUGGCGAAGGCGGCCUUCUGGGCCUCGACUGACGCUGAGGAGCGAAAGCUGGGGGAGCGAACAGGAUUAGAUACCCUGGUAGUCCCAGCCGUAAACGAUGGACGCUAGGUGUGGGGGGAGAUGCCCUCCGUGCCGCAGCCAACGCAUUAAGCGUCCCGCCUGGGGAGUACGGUCGCAAGAUUAAAACUCAAAGGAAUUGACGGGGACCCGCACAAGCGGUGGAUGAUGUGGAUUAAUUCGAUGCAACGCGAAGAACCUUACCUGGUCUUGACAUGUACAGAACCCUCCAGAGACGGAGGGGUGCCUUCGGGAGCCGUAACACAGGUGCUGCAUGGCUGUCGUCAGCUCGUGUCGUGAGAUGUUGGGUUAAGUCCCGCAACGAGCGCAACCCUUGUCAUUAGUUGCCAUCAUUAAGUUGGGCACUCUAAUGAGACUGCCGGUGACAAGCCGGAGGAAGGUGGGGAUGACGUCAAGUCCUCAUGGCCCUUAUGACCAGGGCUUCACACGUCAUACAAUGGUCGGUACAGAGGGUAGCCAAGCCGCGAGGCGGAGCCAAUCUCACAAAACCGAUCGUAGCCCGGAUUGCACUCUGCAACUCGAGUGCAUGAAGUCGGAAUCGCUAGUAAUCGCAGGUCAGCAUACUGCGGUGAAUACGUUCCCGGGUCU